GAGCUGAUUAAGGACGGACACGGACGAGUUAGCCGAAAGAUUUAAUCUGAGCCACGAGGAUACACUCUAAGAAUAUAUCUGUGUUUCACGGUUAAUUCCCUCUUUCUGGACCAUGCAAGGAAAGGCAGCAGGACCCGUCCUUAUACCCUUAUUGGACAGAGGAGCAGUCGUUUUACGAGUUUUUGCAACCAUCUUUAAGAAUGGAAAAGAAAGUUCAAGGAAGAUAUAUUUUGUAAAUUUACUGUUAAACUGUUUGUAAUCUUGUUUUAAUGUAUUGUCACAAAAAAGAAUGUUAUUUAAACAUUUGUAAUAUUAUACAGUAAAAUAAAAUGGCUACAUGUG